rnacentral:rRNA from 1 species
GUGGGGAAUCUUCCGCAAUGGACGAAAGUCUGACGGAGCAACGCCGCGUGAGUGAAGAAGGUUUUCGGAUCGUAAAGCUCUUUCGUUAGGGACGAACGUGCUCUUUGUGAAUAAUGAGGAGUAAUGACGGUACCUAAAUAAGAAGCCACGGCUAACUACGUGCCAGCAGCCGCGGUAAUACGUAGGUGGCAAGCGUUGUCCGGAAUUAUUGGGCGUAAAGCGCGCGCAGGCGGGAUAUGAAGUCUGUCUUAAAAGUGCGAGGCUCAACCUCGUGAGGGGACAGAAACUGGUAUUCUUGAGUGUCGGAGAGGAAAGUGGAAUUCCAAGUGUAGCGGUGAAAUGCGUAGAGAUUUGGAAGAACACCAGUGGCGAAGGCGACUUUCUGGACGAUGUCUGACGCUGAGGCGCGAAAGCUAGGGGAGCGAACGGGAUUAGAAACCCUUGUAGUCC